GCGCAGAUAUCAGGAGGAACACCGAUGGCGAAGGCAGUUCUCUGGGCCGUAACUGACGCUGAGGAGCGAAAGCGUGGGGAGCGAACAGGAUUAGAUACCCUGGUAGUCCACGCCGUAAACGUUGGGCGCUAGAUGUGGGGACCUUUCCACGGUUUCCGUGUCGUAGCUAACGCAUUAAGCGCCCCGCCUGGGGAGUACGGCCGCAAGGCUAAAACUCAAAGGAAUUGACGGGGGCCCGCACAAGCGGCGGAGCAUGCGGAUUAAUUCGAUGCAACGCGAAGAACCUUACCAAGGCUUGACAUAACCGAGAACGCCGCAGAAAUGUGGAACUCUUUGGACACUCGGUUACAGGUGGUGCAUGGUUGUCGUCAGCUCGUGUCGUGAGAUGUUGGGUUAAGUCCCGCAACGAGCGCAACCCUCGUCGCAUGUUGCCAGCACGUAAUGGUGGGAACUCAUGUGAGACUGCCGGGGUCAACUCGGAGGAAGGUGGGGAUGACGUCAAAUCAUCAUGCCCCUUAUGUCUUGGGCUUCACGCAUGCUACAAUGGCCGGUACAAAGGGCUGCGAUGUCGUAAGGCGGAGCGAAUCCCAAAAAGCCGGUCUCAGUUCGGAUUGAGGUCUGCAACUCGACCUCAUGAAGUCGGAGUCGCUAGUAAUCGCAGAUCAGCAACGCUGCGGUGAAUACGUUCCCGGGCCUUGUACACACCGCCCGUCAAGUCAUGAAAGUCGGUAACACCCGAAGCCGGUGGCCUAACCCUUGUGGAGGGAGCCGUCGAAGGUGGGAUCGGUGAUUAGGACUAA
rnacentral:rRNA from 1 species